GGGACUAUAGUUAAUAAUAACAUUUGAGUUGCAUUCAAAAAGUACUACACCUCAAGUAGUUAGCCUCA
rnacentral:tRNA from 1 species